rnacentral:rRNA from 1 species
UACGUAGGUGACCAGCGUUGUCCGGAUUUACUGGGCGUAAAGAGCGCGCAGGCGGUCGUUCAAGUCGAGUGUGAAAGCCCUGGGCUCAACCCAGGAAGUGCACUCGAAACUGGCAGGCUAGAGUACUGGAGAGGUUGGUGGAAUUCUCGGUGUAGAGGUGAAAUUCGUAGAUAUCGAGAGGAACACCGGUGGCGAAGGCGGCCAACUGGACAGAUACUGACGCUGAGACUCGAAAGCGUGGGGAGCAAACAGG